GUGGUUUUUUGUGUUUUGUUGAAAUUUAAAUUUGGCAUUCAACUUCUGCCUGGAUUGGUCGACACUCCUUUAUUGAUGACUGUAUUAAUGGCUUGAACUGCGAAGAAACAUAUCACACUCUUGCUGUUCCGAUAACUGUGAAAGCGUAAACCCAUUCGCGUUCAGUGUAUCACAAAACUUGGAGGCAAAAUCAAAACCAAGC